CGCGUAGGCGGGCCUUCAAGUCGGGUGUGAAAACUGUCGGCUUAACUGACAGCCUGCACUCGAUACUGUCGGUCUUGAGUACGGAAGAGGAGAGCGGAAUUCCAGGUGUAGCGGUGAAAUGCGUAGAUAUCUGGAAGAACACCGGUAGCGAAGGCGGCUCUCUGGUCCGAUACUGACGCUCAAGCGCGAAGGCUAGGGUAGCAAACA
rnacentral:rRNA from 1 species